UACAGAGGGUGCAAGCGUUGUUCGGAAUUAUUGGGCGUAAAGGGCGCGUAGGCGGUGCGGUAAGUCUGCGGUGAAAUCUCCCGGCUCAACUGGGAGUCUGCCGUGGAAACUGCCGUGCUUGAGUGUGGGAGAGGUGAGUGGAAUUCCCGUUGUAGCGGUGAAAUGCGUAGAUAUCGGGAGGAACACCUGUGGCGAAAGCGGCUCACUGGACCACAACUGACGCUGAGGCGCGAAAGCUAGGGGAGCAAACAGG
rnacentral:rRNA from 1 species